UAUACAAGAGGGAGGGUGUUUUUUGCAAUAAUUUCAAACAUUUGGUCUUGUUAGAGAAAUAAAAUGAUUUAAACAGAUCAGCUUUUUUUGCUGUGGAUGUAUUUUACGUUUGUCUUGAAUUGUUUGAUGUUAUAAACUUCAAACUUAAAAAAAGAAAACAUUGAAUUAAAUCUGCUUCACAAAGACCACAAAGUUGUUUCCUGGAGAAUUUCCUGUGACUCGAGUCAAACGCUACACAGUUAUUCUUCAAAAGCGUGUGCAAUUCCACUGCAGAGAUCAAGAUUAUCAAGAAAAGAAUACGUUACGUCUCGGACCACCAUUGAAACAUAUUGGAGACGGGACUACAGACGUUUCAAAAGAUGCCUUCACCGCAUCAUUUUCUACAAUACCUCCAUGCAUUUCUAUCCAAACCUGGUGUUUAUAGCUCUGCUCCAUUGAGUCUUUUGUUAAUCGGUCUGGCGGUGUUGAUCGAACCAAAGCUCUUAUGCCCGUGCAGAGACGGGCAGAAUGCGUUGCUAAUAUUGUUCAUCUUUGUUGCACCUGCUUGUUUUACAUUCACAUUAAUGUAUGCCCUGUUAAGACGCAAAUCUGCAGGAAAUAAAAUGGCUGAAGAUACUCUCCAUGCUACAGGUAGAAAUGAGAAUGUUGAUGCUCUAUCUUCUGCAGGAAAAAAGGAUACUGAUGACACUCAGUCAAUGAAUUUGGGGGAAAUUUUGUUAUAUUGUUUGAUUCCUCCUGUGAUGUGGAUCCUCAUCUUGUUAAUUGAUGGUGAUUACGUGGCUUGUGGCAUGACAACAUGGGAAGGAAAUUAUGUUUUCGAUGAAGAGAUCAACAUAAAAUGGUGUCAACCCACUGAACAUUACAAUGCAGGAAAUCGGAGUAUAAAAUAUAAGAAGAUUAUUUGGGAAUCUCAGCUCGCAGGAUAUGUACUGAUCCUUAUCUUUAGUUUUUUAAUCUUUAUCAUAAUUGUUUGCCGUGACUGUCACAACAAAACUGCUGGGGCACAAGAUGGCAAACAGACCAGGACAAAGACUGGGGAAGGGAGUGAGACACGGAGUCAAGCAGCGGAGGUAGAGAUGGAACCAUGUCUAAAACAAAACAAAUAGAUACAUAUCAUAGAUUCAUAUGGAUCCAAUAAAUACAAAACAGUUUAUUCUUGUUUUCACCUCCUUGUUUGUUGUGACACCAAGUAUUGUGAUGCCUCCUUUCUGGUUUCAUUGUUUUAAGAUAGUUAUAAGUCUCUUUGUAGAUUGAAAUAGAAGAUUUGUUUUGAUCACAAGCUAAAGUAGCUUUCAGCAGUUUAUGCUUACAGAAGCAUAUGGUUUGCUCUUACACUGUAAAUGCAUUUUUUGGUUGUUUAAGCAAUCGUAUUGA